rnacentral:lncRNA from 1 species
UGAAAUUCCACCAUGGAUGGUGGAGGUGAAGGUCAAGCACAGAGCCCUCCUGGCAUAUCCAGUGCUCUCUCCGUUAUGAGGAGGGGUAAGGAGUGAGGAUGGUGUUUCCGGGAAAGCAGAGGUGAGGCCCGCUGGACUCCAGGCAGCUCUCUGCUCUCCUUGCCUUUUGCCUCAGAUUUUUGCAUGUCAGUCGGUCUGGAGAGGAGAUGAUGCUCUGAAGGUGCUGCCUGGCUCUGAACUGUGGAAGCCAAGAGCUCUGGUGGGGUUGGAACUGAAGGUCCACCACAUUUGCCCCAAGAAGAACAUCCUUGCUGGCCUUGCUGAGGGAGCCUGGCAUGCAUCAUGCUUGGCAAUUGUCUUCCUGAGACUCCCCUGCUGGGACAGCGACAGGGCAUGGGGCCCUGAAUGCAUGACAACAACAACUGCAGGUCUCCUGACCCUUGUUUGUAGAGGUGGGUCAUCUCUAGUACCGACCUCCAUCCACCUGCGAAGCAGGGCUGGUCACUUUGUUACCAGCCACAGCCCUCCCCUGGAGGGAUCUGCAGUGUAAACGGAUCAUGUGAGUGCUGACCUUUGCAAAGGUCCAAAUGUGGUCAAUUCAGUUAUUCAUACCAGGCAAGGAAGCUGCCUUAUGAAUAAUUCAAAGUUGUUGCAAAUCCACAAACCUUUUUCACAUUGCCUGCUUGCAGUAGGCUCUCCAUAAAUGUUUACUGAAUCACUGAAUAAAUUAACAUAUGAAUGAAUAUUUUGCAAUAAGCUUUUGGUAUUUACAUUUGCACAUCCAUCUGUUGAUGCUCUGAGGAUCAGCAGCAGUCCUCACAAAAGGGCUCAGGCAUGCUCCCAAAACAGGCCAGAAAAGCCAAGUGGGCCAUGGUUCUCUCUUGCUCUGCAAGGGUGGCGGGGAAUAGAAAAAAAUGUUCCCAUGGCUGAUACAGCCUCUAGCUAGAAGCUGUGAGAUUCCUGACACACGCCAUGCCAGAUUUGUGUGGCUUAACACUUUUAUUCUGCUUUUAUAACCCUCUCCUCUAGCUUUGGUUAAAACUACUAUGUGGUCAGCAGAAUGGCCCCCCAAAGAUGUUUGGGCCCUCACCCCUGGAAACUGUGACUAUGUUACAUCAUGUGGGAAGAGGACUUUGCAGAUAUGAUUAAAGUUAUGGACCUUACAAUAGAGAAUUAUCUUGAAUUAUCUGGGCAGGCCCAACCAAAUCACAUGUGUCCUCAAAAGCGAAGAACUCUCUUCACGGGAGUCCGAGAGAUGGGGCUGAAGGAGAAGUGGGAGGGAUGGAAAGGUGAGAAUGCUCCAUGGGCUGUUAGGGGCUUGCAGAGGGUGGGGCAGUGAGUCCAGGAAUGCAGGUGGCCCCAAGGAGCUGA